rnacentral:snRNA from 1 species
ACACUCUGGUUUCUCUUCAGAUGGGAUUAAUCUUUUGCCUUUUACUGGAGGUUUCCAUGGAGAGGAGCAACUCUGAGUUUAUACUCAAUUUUUUUUUUCUUUUGAGAUAUA